UGGGGAAUUUUCCGCAAUGGGCGCAAGCCUGACGGAGCAAGACCGCGUGCGGGAGGACGGCCUAUUGGUUGUAAACCGCUUUUGAUAGGGAAGAAGUACUGACGGUACCUAUCGAAUCAGCAUCGGCUAACUCCGUGCCAGCAGCCGCGGUAAUACGGAGGAUGCAAGCGUUAUCCGGAAUUAUUGGGCGUAAAGCGUCCGUAGGUGGUUGUUCAAGUCUGCUGUUAAAGCGUGCGGCUUAACCGCAUACCAGCAGUGGAAACUGGACGACUAGAGUGCGGUAGGGGUCAGGGGAAUUCCCAGUGUAGCGGUGAAAUGCGUAGAUAUUGGGAAGAACACCGGUGGCGAAAGCGCCUGACUGGACCUGCACUGACACUGAGGGACGAAAGCUAGGGGAGCGAAUGGGAUUAGAUACCCCAGUAGUC
rnacentral:rRNA from 1 species